UACGGAGGGUGCGAGCGUUGUCCGGAAUCCUUGGGCGUAAAGGGCGCGUAGGUGGCCCGGUCAGUUCGUGGUGAAAGCGCGGGGCUCAACCCUGCGUCGGCCAUGAAUACUGCCGCGGCUGGAGCACUGUAGAGGCAGGCGGAAUUCUGGGUGUAGCGGUGGAAUGCGUAGAGAUCCGGAAGAACACCGGUGGCGAAGGCGGCCUGCUGGGCAGUUGCUGACACUGAGGCGCGACAGCGUGGGGAGCAAACAGG
rnacentral:rRNA from 1 species